rnacentral:lncRNA from 1 species
GGACACCCUGGAGCAUGCCGCUCAGCCCUGUGAGGUCCCAGAAUGAAAACUUAGCUGUGGAUGGAUACAAUAGAGACGAAGGGCUCUGGAGUGUUGGGUGUCCGCUGCUGCUACAACUUGUUCACAAAUGAGCCUAGCAUAGCAACCCUCCAAGAGGCUCUAUUCAUCUAUGUGACUGAGACAGAUACAGAGACCCACAGACAACCAUUGGAUGGAAGUCAGAAAGCCCUGUGGAAGAGAUAGGAGAAGGAUUGAAGACCCUCAAGGAUAUGGCAACCCCACAGGAAGACCAACAGUGUCAACUAACCUGGACCCCUGGGAGCUCCUAGAGACUGAACCACCAACCAAAGAGCAUACACAGGCCCCUGACACAUAUGUAGCCUUGUUCUGCCUCAGUGGGAGAGGAUGCACCUAAUCCUGCAGAGACUUGAUGCCCCAGGGAGGGGGAUAUGGGAGUCUUCCCUCUCGAAAGCAAAGGAGAAGAGGCAUGAAGGAGGAACUCUUUGAGGGGGGACCGGGAGGGGGCAACAU